rnacentral:rRNA from 1 species
AGGGAAUCUUCGGCAAUGGACGGAAGUCUGACCGAGCAACGCCGCGUGAGUGAAGAAGGUUUUCGGAUCGUAAAGCUCUGUUGUAAGAGAAGAACGAGUGUGAGGGUGGAAAGUUCACACUGUGACGGUAUCUUACCAGAAAGGGACGGCUAACUACGUGCCAGCAGCCGCGGUAAUACGUAGGUCCCGAGCGUUGUCCGGAUUUAUUGGGCGUAAAGCGAGCGCAGGCGGUUAGAUAAGUCUGAAGUUAAAGGCUGUGGCUUAACCAUAGUACGCUUUGGAAACUGUUUAACUUGAGUGCAAGAGGGGAGAGUGGAAUUCCAUGUGUAGCGGUGAAAUGCGUAGAUAUAUGGAGGAACACCGGUGGCGAAAGCGGCUCUCUGGCUUGUAACUGACGCUGAGGCUCGAAAGCGUGGGGAGCAAACAGGAUUAGAUACCCUGGUAGUCCACGCCGUAAACGAUGAGUGCUAGGUGUUAGACCCUUUCCGGGGUUUAGUGCCGUAGCUAACGCACUAAGCACUCCGCCUGGGGAGUACGACCGCAAGGUUG